ensembl:lncRNA
AUCUGGCCACAAAAAAACACAAGAGGAGUUACAGAUUGUUGUUAAUAAACAGUGGUAGUGUUUGCUUACUAUGUAAUCUAUAUGGUAUACUGAUAUUUGAGGGUUGCCUUUGGAAAUAGUAUGGAUAUGAUGAAGUCAUACUCCACAGUGUUAUCCAAAUUCUUCUUACUUUCUAGAGGACAAACUUGUUGAGACCCGUGAAGUUAAGCAGCUGCUCUUAAAAACCUGAAGUCUCGUAUUUUGAACCUCAAUUUCUUUAUUUGCCAAACUGACAGUUCCAGUUCUUGUGAGGUCUGUGAUGCUGAGCCUGUUUUGAAUGAAUGUAAAUACUCACUUUUUAGUGAACUUGCUGAUAAAUUCUUAACAAUUACAUGUGCCUCCAAAUAUGAUCAUCAGCUGGAACGUCUAAACCCUUCUAGAGAAGUCUCCUAUGGACUUACUAUGUGGGUGAGUCUUAGCUGAUUUGCUGGACGGUUGAAGAGCACUUUGAUUGGAAUCAGCCUGAUACAAGGAACAAAAUAAGAAUCUACAGUACCUCAUCUGCCAUGUGCAGAAGCCAUUGAGAAUGUAACGUGUUUUAUGCGUGCCUAUCAAAUCAUGGGAAUUGCACUGAAUAUAAUGUUAGCAGAUAUCAGAAAAUACUAUUUAUUUGUUCUUUUUACUGUUCUCUUUCCUGCCAGCUGUAUUAUUAUGCUCAAAAUAGAAGUGGCAAAAUCAUUUCUCAACUUCUCUGCUGUUCCUACUCAACGGGUAAAAACAACUUAAACACAAUUACAUUAGCCCCAGAUUUCAAUUACUCACAGUUAUAACUAGCUUGUACAAAUUGCUCCUAACACAUUUAAAUGAAUAGUACUCAGCUGCACUCUGCAACCAACUCGAGUGCUUGUAUUAUGUGUUUAUAUGGCACACAGAACCCAAAGGCCUUCAAAUGUUUGCAUCUGGUAGUUAAAUCAAAACCGAUUCAGGAGAUGCGCCCAAACUGUAGCUACGUUUUCAUUUCAGAGUGCUGGGAACAGUGUGUACAGACCAAGGAGUAGAAAUUGGGCACAGAAAGAAAAAAAUACACGGUAUCACAAAGGCAGAAAGAAGGAGGUCAGGAUUUAAAAAUAGCUGUGCAGGUGUUUACUGUCCCUGCUGUCUUAGAUGCAACCCCAUCCCACAAAUCAAGUGGACAUUGAUGCCUCCUGCUUCAGGCCCCCCACCCCCACCCUCUACACACACUUCCCAGAAGGGAAGGCUGUAUAAGCCUUUAAAACAUCCAAAUUCCUUGGCACUGGAAUACACGGUUGUACUCUCAAUUACUGCAAAUCAGUGCUACUUCAUUGAUUUCAUUAAAUUUUGCUGGCAUACACUGAAUAUGCCCCCUGCUGUUAAAUAGUCAAGGAAAAUAUCUUCCCUGAAGAAAUGACUGUGUCUGAAAGAAACGGAACUUGUUGAUUGUCAUACUUGGAAAAUAAGAGCUACUGGGGCUGUGUUAUCCUUUUCUCAAAAACUGUUCGUCCCACCAAUAAGGAUAAGGCAUUAGAUCAAAGACGAUGCCAUCCAGCUGCUCUGUAAAGCAUAGGAGACAUGGUUACUUUUCAGUCAAAUUAUAGAUUUUCAGAUCUACAAUUACAGAGUAGGAUUUGGUUUGCUAACAGCUGCUGGCCCCAGAAUCUUUUGUGGUUAGCUCAUGCUGUAUUUUCUCAUGGUAUAUCUGUGGAUGCUUGGAAGAGAAAGAUGAGUCAGCAACUGAAUGACUUUAAAGUGGUCAUUGACAUUGUUUUCCACAGAAGGGAUGUGACCUAGGUCAAAUAUCUUAUUUCAGCUGGUUGAGCUUCUCAAUAAGCUGAAGAAUGCUAGCUCUUAAAAGUUUACAGUUCAAAGAAGUUUUCCCCACUUUGGUAGUCAAUCUCAGUGUGACUUCUGAAUGCAUGCAGAUCAGGAAAAUCUGUUGGUUUUCUGCUCCAUUAUCAAAGCUUUUCUCUGUGCUUCUGUCCAACUUCUACGUUAGCAGUACACAAAUAACUAUUGCCCCGCAUUAUCACUGAAAUUCUUUGCGUAUAGUGAUUUACAUCUGAUAGACGUGAUUACUUUUCUCCUACAGGAUAAAAUUUAAUAAUGCUUAUCUAUGUGAAGGUCAGGCAUUUCAUGAAGGAUGAGCAAACAUGCAAAUUGAUGAAUGUUUUAAAACUCUUCUUAAAAAUAAUUUUUAAAAGAGGGUACUCACUUCAGCUAUGCGUUCAGUAUUCUCCCACCAAGGGCGUAUCCCUUAACACUGAGUAGGUGGUCUUUGCCAAAGACUGCUAGGCAUAACUCUUAGAAAGCUGGAGCACUUUAGAAUAAGCAAAAGGAGAGCAAGAGUGAUGUGGUGUCUGUCUUCUGUCUGUUACUGACCCAGUUGUUAAUGCCGCAACCACAUUUCUACGUGGAGGCCUGCUAUAGCUUCGUGUAAGAAAAUGCCACAAAAUACUGAUUCCUACCUGUUCAGAUGCAGAAUAUUCCUUGAUAAGGAAAUUAACAUUAACCUCGUAUCAGAUGCUAAUAAGAUUUGGCCAUAUCCACAAAAAACAAGAGUGCUCUUGUAAUAAGUUUUCUCUCAUUUGAUGUAGUAUUAAUGAGCAUGUAAAAUACCUGAAAGGGACCCGAGAGGAUCAUUGAGUCCAAGAAAACUUAAAUACUAAGAUAUAAAUUUCUGUAGGUAGCAUUUUUCAAGUGCUCCUGCAGCACAGGAUCUGCUGGGCUUAAAGAUCAGUUUUGAGUUUGGGAAAGUUGCUGCAGUUCUCUUGGCAUGGCAAGAUGGGCACGUCAGCAGUGUGUGAGUGGGGAAUGAGUGGGAGGAGAACAGCCCUGAAAUUAAAGAGGUCUGUGAAACAUUGUCUGGUUUAACCACAGUUGUUCCUUUUUUUGUCACUAAGCUAUCUCUUAGUAAAUGAUUCAAGUACCCCCACCAUAGGGCAGUGUGGUUCCUUGCUGGAUGUGACCAUAUGUUUGGAUGUCUGGGAUAUAAGGGCCGCAACAGACCUUGACUACUGCCCUAUCUGUGAGGCUUCCUCUCAUUGAGGCCCCUGCCUUAAUCCCCCAAGUGCUGGCACAGGCUAGGCUGAAUUGGUGGUGGAGCUGCACAGCAUCCUCGGAUGGCUAACCCAAGCCAUGAAAACUCUCUGCUCCCAGAGCAGUUGCAUCUCUUCAGAGGUUGUGCUGGUGAAAAAAGAUCAGUCGGCAGGUUGUGUCUGUCCUCACACCACAGUGUGUUUAUGUUGGCAAACCUUUGUUGUGUAGACUCAGCCAAAGCGCGUUACUGAUGAAUGGGAUGAUGUGGGAAUUUUUCCAUCUGCUGUCUUCCUACUUUUGCUGAUCUAUGUAACAAGUUUGGUUUUUAACUGUGAAGUAUCGCACUCUCGUAGCUGAUAGUAAUAGCGCGUGCUCACACAGCUGUGAUUUGACCACACUACAGCCCUGUUUGUGAGUAAUGGCUAAAUCCACGAGUACAGAAGGUAUCUCCUGCCAAGUGCAAGAACUAAUUCAGAGAAAAAUUAGUGAACUUGUACCGAGCUUUUUUGUAAUUACUUUUUUGUAAUUAGAACCAGUAUGUCUAAUGGCUGAUUGUGGAGUAGCCUGAUGUAGUGCCCAGCCACCUCUCUCACACCUGCUUUUCUCUUAGCUUCCUAGGCCUCCUUGUCGUAAAGGAUUGAGUGCAUUGGAUUCAUUGGAACAAAAAAGCAAACAAAACUAUAAAGCACUGAACAGAAAUAGAUUUAGCGUGAUUUUAAAAGUGAAAUAUACGUAAAGGUGUUUUGCUGAAUUGGUUUUUCUCUGUUUGGACCAUCCCAGAAAUAGCGUUGUGUGUGAAGCAUCUGAUUCUAGGGAAUAAAAAAAGAAAUAUUCUGUACCAAUGGAUGUUAUUUAUACACCCAUGAACCUGCAAAAAUAAAUAUAAUUGACAUUUCAAACCU